rnacentral:rRNA from 1 species
CAGCAGCCGCGGGAACACGUAGGGUGCGAGCGUUAAUCGGAAUUACUGGGCGUAAAGCGUGCGCAGGCGGUUGUGUAAGACAGGUGUGAAAUCCCCGGGCUUAACCUGGGAACUGCGCUUGUGACUGCACAGCUAGAGUAUGGCAGAGGGGGGUGGAAUUCCACGUGUAGCAGUGAAAUGCGUAGAGAUGCGGAGGAACACCGAUGGCGAAGGCAGCCCCCUGGGCCAAUACUGACGCUCAUGCACGAAAGCGUGGGGAGCAAACAGGAUUAGAUACCCCUGUAGUCCCUGUCUCUUAUAC